GACAUAAUGCAACUAGCACAAUCUAAUAAUCACCACCACCACCACCACUAAACCCAGCUUUCUUGUACAAGUGGUCCCUGAUAGACAGACCGGGGGAAUGGUAGACUCCGGCCAAGCAGUGAGGCUGACAUGUAGUGAAGUACGCAUGUUAAGGCUGGGCUGUGAUGGGGACUGAAGAUUAGUAGGGAAGCUGUUGAAUUCACACUGGCGAGAAAAGCUGCUAAGGAGCGAGAGUAUGCCCGUACCGCAAACCGACACAGGUAGGCGAGGAGAGAAUCCUAAGACGAGCGGGAGAACCCUUGUUAAGGAACUCGGCAAAAUGACUCCGUAACUUAGGGAGAAGGAGUGCCUCGAGAGAGGCCGCAGAGAAUAGGCCCAAGCGACUGUUUACCAAAAACACAGGUCUGUGCGAAGUAGAGAUACGACGUAUACGGGCUGACGCCUGCCCAGUGCCGGAAGGUUAAGGGGAAGUGUUAGGGCAACCGAAGCACGGAACUUAAGCCCCGGUGAACGGCGGCCGUAACAAUAACGGUCCUAAGGUAGCGAAAUUCCUUGUCGGGUAAGUUCCGACCCGCACGAAUGGCGUAACGACUUGGGCACUGUCUCAACAAGGGACACGGCGAAAUUGUAGUAUGUGUGAAGAUGCACAUUACCCGCGAUAGGACGGAAAGACCCCGUAGAGCUUUACUGUAGUUUAACAUUGGAUUUUGAUAACACAUGUACAGGAUAGGUGGGAGGCUGAGAAACCGGCACGCCAGUGCCGAUGGAGCCGCUGUUGGGAUACCACUCUUGUGUUAUUGGAGUUCUAACGAAGUGCCGUAAACCGGGCUUCGGACAGUGUUAGAUGGGCAGUUUGACUGGGGCGGUCGCCUCCGAAAGAGUAACGGAGGCGUCCAAAGGUUCCCUCAGAAUGGUUGGAAACCAUUCACAGAGUGCAAAGGCAGAAGGGAGCUUGACUGCGAGACCGACAGGUCGAGCAGGUACGAAAGUAGGGCUUAGUGAUCCGGCGGUAUGAGAGUGGAAUUGCCGUCGCUCAACGGAUAAAAGCUACCUCGGGAUAACAGGCUGAUCUCCCCCAAGAGUUCACAUCGACGGGGAGGUUUGGCACCUCGAUGUCGGCUCGUCGCAUCCUGGGGCUGGAGCAGGUCCCAAGGGUUUGGCUGUUCGCCAAUUAAAGCGGCACGCGAGCUGGUUCAGAACGUCGUGAGACAGUUCGGUCCCUAUCCAUCGUGGGCGCAGGAGAUUUGAGAGGAGCUGUCCUUAGUACGAGAGGACCGGGAUGGACGCACCAAGGGUGAAUCAGUUGUCGUGCCAACGGCACAGCUGGGUAGCCAAGUGCGGAUCGGAUAAACGCUGAAGGCAUCUAAGCGUGAAGCCGACCUCAAGAUAAGAUCUCCCAUCCGAAAGGAGUAAGACCCCAUGAAGACCACAUGGUUGAUAGGCCGGAGGUGGAAGUGCAGUAAUGUACGGAGCUGACCGGUACUAAUAGGUCGAGGGCUUGAUC
rnacentral:rRNA from 1 species